CAUGGUACUUCUACUUAUCCAUACGUCAUCCAACUGACCCAAAUUCUGACAUUGUUUGCACACUGAUGCCAGAACAGCCAAUCUUAGUGUGACCUUUUCCUGGUGUGGAUAGAAAUACUCAAAUUUUAUAUUCAGAGGGAAUAAUAUGUUUAUCACAGAUUUAAUUAACAUUUAUCCAUCUAGACUCUUUUAUAAAAGGUGGCAUAAUACAAAGCAAAAUACACAGUUUGUCACAGAGACAACAACAUUCAUAAUGCACAACGCCGGGUGAAAUGCAAAAAAAAAAGAAGAAAGAACCACUUAAAUGAAAAUCCCUCAUGAAUUAUUAGCAAUGCACUGCAAAACAUUCUUAAACAAAUAAAAUCAGGCCAGCUUAUGUCUCCAAAAAUGGGGUGGGGAUUUAAAUAAGCUUUACAUUUGCAGAACUGGUUUGACCAGCACUGAAUAAAUAGUGAAGGUAAAAAGCCAUGAAAAGAUUCACGAGGGAUCACAGCAUUAUAUCAGUCAGUCUGUUCUGAUCCUUAAAGGGAAGUCAAAAUGAAUGAUCUGAAUGCACGAAGGAAUCAGAUGAAUAUAAGAGCAGCUGGAAAUGGUGGGAGAUGAUAAAUGUACUGGAACUGGCCUCUGCUGAUUUCACUGUCUGGCUUAGCAUUUUACCAGUGGGUCAUGCAAAGGAGAAUAAGAAAUGAAAUGGACUGCUUGAGGAGAAGCAUUGAGAAAGACAGAAGGGAGGACAAAGCAAUGGCUGUGAUUCCCGAGAUCCGCAGGUUGUUACAUGAUAGACAAGACAUCAUUUGCAGCAAUACUGUCCCAUAUUUUGCUCAGCGGACAAGAGAGCAAGAGUUAACCAUCCUGGCAUGCAGUGAC